GCCGGAGUGGCGGAACAGGCAGACGCAAGGGACUUAAAAUCCCUCGAUCUUUAAUAAGAUCGUACCGGUUCAAGUCCGGUCUCCGGCACCA
rnacentral:tRNA from 1 species